rnacentral:rRNA from 1 species
UACGUAGGGUGCGAGCGUUAAUCGGAAUUACUGGGCGUAAAGCGUGCGCAGGCGGUUUUGUAAGCCAGAUGUGAAAUCCCCGGGCUUAACCUGGGAAUGGCAUUUGGGACUGCAAGGCUCGAGUGCGGCAGAGGAGACUGGAAUUCCUGGUGCAGCAGUGAAAUGCGUAGAUAUCAGGAGGAACACCGAUGGCGAAGGCAGGUCUCUGGACAGUUCCUGACGCUGAGGCACGAAGGCCAGGGGAGCAAACGGG